CAUUUUUUUCGAGGACUUUUCCAGGCCCAUUUAUUUGAAUUCCAUGACUUGUCCAGGAUUUCCAUGACCGUAUGAACCCUGAGAUACAGUGAGGCGACAGAUUGUUAUUCAGUGACAUCAUACAGAGGAAGUAGCAGCGUAUCGUUGGCCCGCUCGGCUGCACAACAGCUCAAACUGUGACAUGAUGAGCGGCUCACAGCGGAGGAGGAGUAACACACUGACACACUGCAGUCGGCCGACUGUGCAGAGGAGCCACCCCGAAACCCAUAUUAAUUCCACCCCUUCAACCUUUGCCGUGAGAUCCCUUUCUCGGGCCCUCCUCUCUCCGCGGGCCCGCACCGCUGAAGGAACGAUGACGUGUGAAAGAAAGGCGUGAAGAAAGAGAGGAGCCGUUCCCCCUCAUCUGUUCUCCCAGAUGCCGCGGUUCUCCGCAGUGUUUCAGUUUAACCCCUCCAUCCUUCUUCUUCAACCCUAAUUACGCCCACACGCACAUCUUUGACAAAUCCCCACCGGGGGCAGAGCACCGGCCACAGAGGCUCAUACUGGGCUCGAUGGGAGGCAGCCGACGGGGUUAAUGGCACACACACACACACACACACACACAACGGCUCUCAUUAGCAGUCUCGCACCGAUAGUGUGGAGAUGAAAAGAUGCUUCACCCCUGUGUGCGCGUGCGUGUGUGUGUGUGUGUGUGUGAGAGCCUCGACACGCACAGCGGCGCUUGUGGCAUUGUUUUAACUCUCAUGGUGGAGGGGAGAGGGCAUUCACACCCAGACUUGUGUGUCCUUUAGAACAGUCUGCGUCAUUCAUAAAAGCAUGUGUGUGAAUGGUUAUAUUAUUGCUAUUAACCAAUCUACAUAUUUCCCCAUUAUCUUUAUGAUUUGACAUUUGCAUAUCUCGUCUGUGGGGUGAAUAGAGGUUGUCGGGUUACAACUAUUUUCUUUAGCCGUUAAUCUUAAUGGUUAAUUUCUCGCAAAAAUAAUCUUUAUGGUGUAUGACUUGCAAAAGAAAUCCCAAUUUCUUAAAGCCCAAAGAGACAUUUUUUAAAUGUCCAAACAUAAUCCUUUUAUAAUCGCCUAAUAUAAGGUAAAACAGCACAUCCUGACAGUUGAGAAGCUAAAUUAGCUGAAAGUAUUACACAGAUGAUGAAUCAUCAAAAUAGUUGGUGCUUAAUUUCACUAAUUGGUAGUUGACUAAUGGGUUCAGCUCAAUAGAGUUCCUCUCAAACUCCGAGUAGCCUAUUACCCAAAAAUAGACAAUCUGGGUAACUGGAGUCAUCUUAUUUCAAACCCGUCUGAAGCACUGGUUCCCAGCGUAACCUUUGCACGUUAAAAAUGUUUUCAUUCAGAUUCGGUAAAAAAAAUAAAGUGUUCAGGGGGGAAAUAAAACGGAGAUGGGACUAAAUGCUGACGUGAGGCAGCUCUUUACUGUUGCUAUGGUAACAACGACUGGUUAACCACGAAACAGUUCCUUCGGAUUAAACACAUUACAUACAAUAGUUUGUAAUUGUUUCACACGUAUAUAAUAUGUACAUAUAAUAUGUAUAUAUACACAUAGAAAUAGUUCAAUCAUGAUUUAAUUAUUUAAAUUGCUCAUCCACAAAUCCCACUCUUAAAAACAAGCUCCUGAUUGACUGCAGUCGUAGUUCCUGCAGCUUUGAGAGACAUUUGUCCUUUGCUGAAAGUCUAAAACUACCCGUUAUGAUGAGGAGACCCCUAAAGACGUCCUCCCACCAACGAGAGAGCGUUAUAACACCUUUACACAUGUGCUGUGACCGCGAGUCCCAGAAAACUAGUUCGCAAGUUCGCAGAGAGGACGAAGCAGGUCGUUAGAGGUGAUGGACGAACGGAUGAAGCGUCCGGCUACUGCCACUCCGAGCCCUCCGGCGUGAAAGAAAGAAUAUCGUAACCGUCUCCCCUGGACGUAUUUAUUAGUUUCAAAUAACUUCCUGUUUGUCAUCCAUUCAGACGAACACAUUGGAAGAUGUGAGGUGGUGUUGAUGGAGGGAUGCUUGAGCUCUUCUGAUGAUGAGGCAGAUGCAUAAAAGAGGUUGGAAAACACUGACGGAGGACAGGGUUUGCCCUCUUGAACAUAUUUCUUUCCUCACUUUUUUUCUUCUUUCUUCUCCUUGGAGAAUUAGUGGAGGAGUGCUAAAAGCCUCGGCGGUGUUGACGGGUUGCACUUCCACUGCGGUGGAGAGGAGACUUCUAUAAUAACCGGCUGGUGGAGGUGCUUUUUAAGAUGUGGUCCGGAUGCUUUGCAUUGAGUGUUAUGGUUUGAAUGUGUUAAGUCAUGUGUGUGUGUGACAUGCAUGUAUUAUAAAUAUGUGUAAAGUG